GUCAGCAUGGUUUAAUGGUUUGACUGUUGGACUGUGACUCUAGAGACAAGGGUUCAAAUUCUUGCUUGCCCACA